rnacentral:rRNA from 2 species
UACGGGAGGCAGCAGUGGGGAAUUUUGGACAAUGGGCGAAAGCCUGAUCCAGCCAUGCCGCGUGCAGGAUGAAGGCCUUCGGGUUGUAAACUGCUUUUGUACGGAACGAAAAGACUCUGGUUAAUACCUGGGGUCCAUGACGGUACCGUAAGAAUAAGCACCGGCUAACUACGUGCCAGCAGCCGCGGUAAU